rnacentral:rRNA from 1 species
GUCCUACGGGGGCAGCAGUGGGGAAUAUUGCACAAUGGGGGAAACCCUGAUGCAGCGACGCCGCGUGAGUGAAGAAGUAAUUCGUUACGUAAAGCUCUAUCAGCAGGGAAGAAAAUGACGGUACCUGAGUAAGAAGCCCCGGCUAACUACGUGCCAGCAGCCGCGGUAAUACGUAGGGGGCAAGCGUUAUCUGGAAUUAUUGGGCGUAAAGAGUACGUAGGUGGCAACCUAAGCGCGGGGUUUAAGGCAAUGGCUCAACCAUUGUUCGCCCUGCGAACUGGGAUGCUUGAGUGCAGGAGAGGAGA